UUGACAGCUUUGAAAGAUGAAGUCAUGCUCAAGAGGAAAACAACUACUGCAUUUGGCAGAUUUCACAUGCUGCUGCGGCCAAUGUGCCUCCAACCUGGCAUGGAGGAACAAUCUCUAGAGGCGGGAGGAUUGUUCAGUUUCCAUGCCAGUUCAAUCAUUGGCUUCU
rnacentral:sRNA from 1 species